rnacentral:rRNA from 1 species
UAAUACAGAGGUCUCAAGCGUUGUUCGGAAUCACUGGGCGUAAAGGGUGCGUAGGCGGCACGGUAAGUCAGAGGUGAAAUCCCGGAGCUCAACUCCGGAAUUGCCUCCGAUACUGCCGUGCUUGAGGACUGGAGAGGAGAUUGGAAUUCACAGUGGAGCAGUGAAAUGCGUAGAUAUUGUGAGGAACACUAGUGGCGAAGGCGAAUCUCUGGACAGUUCCUGACGCUGAGGCACGAAGGCCAGGGGAGCAAACG